rnacentral:rRNA from 1 species
UACAGAGGUCUCAAGCGUUGUUCGGAUUCAUUGGGCGUAAAGGGUGCGUAGGCGGCGCGGUAAGUCGGGUGUGAAAUCUCGGAGCUUAACUCCGAAACUGCAUUCGAUACUGCCGUGCUUGAGGACUGGAGAGGAGAUUGGAAUUCACGGUGUAGCAGUGAAAUGCGUAGAUAUCGUGAGGAAGACCAGUGGCGAAGGCGGAUCUCUGGACAGUUCCUGACGCUGAGGCGCGAAGGCCAGGGGAGCAAACGGG